rfam:Salmo salar isolate Sally breed double haploid chromosome ssa19, whole genome shotgun sequence.
UGGCUCAGUUAGUAGAGCAUGGUGUUUGCACCGCCAGCAUGGUGUGUGCAACGCCAGGGUUGUGGGUUCGAUUCCCAC